CCUACGGGAGGCAGCAGUGAGGAAUAUUGGUCAAUGGACGAGAGUCUGAACCAGCCAAGUAGCGUGAAGGAUGACUGCCCUGUGGGUUGUAAACUUCUUUUAUAUGGGAAUAAAAUGUUCCACGUGUGGGAUUUUGUAUGUACCAUAUGAAUAAGGAUCGGCUAACUCCGUGCCAGCAGCCGCGGUAAUACGGAGGAUCCGAGCGUUAUCCGGAUUUAUUGGGUUUAAAGGGAGCGUAGGUGGAUUGUUAAGUCAGUUGUGAAAGUUUGCGGCUCAACCGUAAAAUCGCAGUUGAAACUGGCAGUCUGGAGUACAGGAGAGGUGGGCGGAAUUCGCGGUGUAGCGGUGAAAUGCGUAGAUAUCACGAAGAACUCCGAUUGCGAAGGCAGCUCACUGGAUUGAAACUGACACUGAGGCUCGAAAGUGUGGGUAUCAAACAGGAUUAGAUACCCUAGUAGUC
rnacentral:rRNA from 1 species